rnacentral:antisense_RNA from 1 species
GAUAGCCAUAGAUAGUUGCGGGGUUAAGGGUAGGCUCUGUUACCAGACGGACGGUUUGAGUUGCUGCAUCAUACAGUCCGCCAAAAUACAUAGCUUUGGCGACUAGCAAUAAGGCUCCCAUACCUAAAAACAGUAAGUGAUGCCCUAAAAUUAAGCCCAACUGUUUUGGGUCUUCCCA